rnacentral:tRNA from 1 species
CUCUUAGUAGCUCAGUUGGUAGUAGCGCCUGUUUGAAGAGCAGGAGGUCGUCAGUUCAAUUCUGACCUAAGGGG